rnacentral:sRNA from 1 species
GCUGAAUGUGUUGGUGCAUGCCUGUAAUCCCAGCAACUUGGGAGGCUGAGGCAGGGGAAUUGCAAGCUUGAGGCCAGCUUAGCAAGAUCCUGAGCAAUUUAGCAAGAUCCUGUCUCAA